AUUGAACGCUGGCGGCAUGCCUUACACAUGCAAGUCGAACGGCAGCACGGGUGCUUGCCCCUGGUGGCGAGUGGCGAACGGGUGAGUAAUACAUCGGAACAUGUCCUGUAGUGGGGGAUAGCCCGGCGAAAGCCGGAUUAAUACCGCAUACGAUCUACGGAUGAAAGCGGGGGACCUUCGGGCCUCGCGCUAUAGGGUUGGCCGGUGGCUGAUUAGCUAGUUGGUGGGGUAAAGGCCUACCAAGGCGACGAGCAGUAGCUGGUCUGAGAGGACGAGCAGCCACACUGGGACUGAGACACGGCCCAGACUCCUACGGGAGGCAGCAGUGGGGAAUUUUGGACAAUGGGCGAAAGCCUGAUCCAGCAAUGCCGCGUGUGUGAAGAAGGCCUUCGGGUUGUAAAGCACUUUUGUCCGGAAAGAAAUCCUUGGCCCUAAUACGGUCGGGGGAUGACGGUACCGGAAGAAUAAGCACCGGCUAACUACGUG
rnacentral:rRNA from 1 species